rnacentral:lncRNA from 1 species
ACCACGAACACUUUUCAGCACUUAUACCUUCAAUUCCGUUGCUUUAUUUUGUUUAUUUUUUCACUAAAAACUAUCAUAUUCAUCUUUGUAUCACCAGCACCUAGCGUUGUAUUUGUUACUAACAGGGAUUUAGGUGACAAAUUACAUUAUCUGCCCUAGCGUUUGGUAUUGCACUGGUGGUGAUCUAGACUUUGAGAGUGUGUCAGGUGAGAAGGUAGCUGGAAUAACUAUGUUGGCUCCAUAGAGAUGAAUGAUUCUUAGAAUAUAUAUGUUGUCUGCUCCAUAGUGGUUUGCACAAUGCUUAGCAAGGAUCUAGUUUUCGCUCAAUACAUACACAAUUACUUGAUAUUUAGACAAGCUGAGCCAAGUGGUAGAGCUUGCUUUAUUUAACAGCUGAUGGCUGAUGGCUGCUCUUUAAAGUGGAUGUAAAGGAUGUGAAAAGAGAGUAGACAAGAAAUAUACCAUUGGGGCCGGGCACGGUGGCUCAUGCCUGUAAUCCUAGCACUUUGGGAGGCUGAGCGGGUGGAUCACCUGAGGUCAGAAGUUCAAGACCAGCCUGACCAGCAUGGCGAAACCCCGUCUCUAAUAAAUACAAAAAAAUAG